AACGAACGCUGGCGGCAUGCCUAACACAUGCAAGUCGAACGAGACCUUCGGGUCUAGUGGCGCACGGGUUCGUAACGCGUGGGAACCUGCCCUUAGGUUCGGAAUAACUCCCCGAAAGGGGUGCUAAUACCGGAUAAUGUCUUCGGACCAAAGAUUUAUCGCCUUUGGAUGGUCCCGCGUUGGAUUAGCUAGUUGGUAGGGUAAAAGCCUACCAAGGCGACGAUCCAUAGCUGGUCUGAGAGGAUGAUCAGCCACACUGGGACUGAGACACGGCCCAGACUCCUACGGGAGGCAGCAGUGGGGAAUAUUGGAAAAUGGGCGAAAGCCUGAUCCAGCAAGGCCGCGUGAGUGAUGAAGGCCUUAGGGUUGUAAAGCUCUUUUACCCGGGAUGAUAAUGACAGUACCGGGAGAAUAAGCUACGGCUAACUCCGUG
rnacentral:rRNA from 1 species